rnacentral:rRNA from 1 species
GAUGAACGCUAGCGAUAGGCUUAACACAUGCAAGUCGAGGGGCAGCAUGGUCUUAGCUUGCUAAGACUGAUGGCGACCGGCGCACGGGUGCGUAACGCGUAUGCAACUUGCCUCACAGAGGGGGAUAACCCGUCGAAAGACGGACUAAUACCGCGUACACUUGGGAUAGGGCAUCCUGACCCAAGGAAAUGAAAUUCGCUGUGAGAUAGGCAUGCGUCCCAUUAGCUAGUUGGUGAGGUAACGGCUCACCAAGGCGACGAUGGGUAGGGGAACUGAGAGGUUGAACCCCCACACUGGUACUGAGACACGGACCAGACUCCUACGGGAGGCAGCAGUGAGGAAUAUUGGUCAAUGGGCGAGAGCCUGAACCAGCCAAGUCGCGUGAAGGAUGACUGUCUUAUGGAUUGUAAACUUCUUUUAUACGGGAAUAACAAGAGCCACGUGUGGCUCCCUGCAUGUACCGCAUGAAUAAGCAUCGGCUAACUCCGUG